rnacentral:rRNA from 1 species
GGUUGACCUCGGAUCAGGUAGGGAUACCCGCUGAACUUAAGCAUAUCAAUAAGCGGAGGAAAAGAAACCAACCGGGAUUGCCCCAGUAACGGCGAGUGAAGCGGCAAGAGCUCAAAUUUGAAAUCUGGCCCCUCCGGGGUCCGAGUUGUAAUUUGCAGAGGAUGCUUCGGGUGCGGCCCCCGUCUAAGUGCCCUGGAACGGGCCGUCAGAGAGGGUGAGAAUCCCGUCCUGGGCGGGGUGUCCGUGCCCGUGUGAAGCUCCUUCGACGAGUCGAGUUGUUUGGGAAUGCAGCUCUAAAUGGGUGGUAAAUUUCAUCUAAAGCUAAAUACUGGCCGGAGACCGAUAGCGCACAAGUAGAGUGAUCGAAAGAUGAAAAGCACUUUGAAAAGAGAGUUAAACAGCACGUGAAAUUGUUGAAAGGGAAGCGCUUGCGACCAGACUCGCCCGCGGGGUUCAGCCGGCACUCGUGCCGGUGUACUUCCCCGUGGGCGGGCCAGCGUCGGUUUGGGCGGCCGGUCAAAGGCCUCCGGAAUGUAUCGCCCUCCGGGGCGUCUUAUAGCCGGGGGUGCAAUGCGGCCAGCCCGGACCGAGGGACGCGCUUCGGCACGGACGCUGGCAUAAUGGUCGUAAACGACC